GCCUGUAGUCCCAACUACUCAGGAGGCUGAGGUGGGAGGAUCACUUGAGCCCAGGAGUUCUGGGCUGCAAUGCGCUAUGCUGAUUGGGUGUCUGCACUAAGUUUGGCAUCAAUAUGGUGACCUCCUGGGAGCGGGGGACCACCAGGUUGCCUGAGGAGGGGUGAACUGGCCCAGGUCGGAAACGGAGCAGGUCAAAACUGCCGUGCUGAUCAGUAGUGGGAUCGUGCCUGUGAAUAGCUACUGCACUCCAGGCUAAGCAACAAAGCAAGACCCUGUCUUU
rnacentral:SRP_RNA from 1 species